UGGCAAGUUAUGUGCCAGCAGCCGCGGUAAUUCCAGCUCCAAUAGCGUAUAUUAAAGUUGUUGCAGUUAAAAAGCUCGUAGUUGAAACUUGGGCCUGGCUGGCGGGUCCGCCUCACCGCGUGCACUCGUCCGGCCGGGCCUUCCUUCUGAAGAACCUCAUGCCCUUCACUGGGCGUGUUGGGGAAUCAGGACUUUUACUUUGAAAAAAUUAGAGUGUUCAAAGCAGGCCUUUGCUCGAAUACGUUAGCAUGGAAUAAUAAAAUAGGGCGUGCGUUUCUAUUUUGUUGGUUUCUAGAGACGCCGCAAUGAUUAACAGGAACAGUCGGGGGCAUCAGUAUUCAGUUGUCAGAGGUGAAAUUCUUGGAUUUACUGAAGACUAACUACUGCGAAAGCAUUGCCAAGGAUGUUCAUAAUCAGACGCAUGCA
rnacentral:rRNA from 1 species